rnacentral:rRNA from 1 species
GAGUUUGAUCCUGGCUCAGAAUGAACGCUGGCGGCAGGCCUAACACAUGCAAGUCGAACGGAGUUAUAUUGUAGCUUGCUAUGGUAUAACUUAGUGGCAGACGGGUGAGUAAUGUAUAGGAAUCUACCUAGUAGUACGGAAUAAUUGUUGGAAACGGCAACUAAUACCGUAUACGCCCUACGGGGGAAAAAUUUAUCGCUAUUAGAUGAGCCUAUAUUAGAUUAGUUAGUUGGUGAGGUAAAGGCUUACCAAGACAAUGAUCUAUAGCUGAUCUGAGAGGAUGAUCAGCCACNCUGGAACUGAGAUACGGUCCAGACUCCUACGGGANGC